AUUGAACGCUGGCGGCAUGCUUUACACAUGCAAGUCGAACGGUAACAGGCCGCAAGGUGCUGACGAGUGGCGAACGGGUGAGUAAUGCAUCGGAACGUGCCCAGUCGUGGGGGAUAACGCAGCGAAAGCUGCGCUAAUACCGCAUACGAUCUAUGGAUGAAAGCGGGGGACCGAAAGGCCUCGCGCGAUUGGAGCGGCCGAUGUCAGAUUAGGUAGUUGGUGGGGUAAAGGCUCACCAAGCCAAUGAUCUGUAGCUGGUCUGAGAGGACGACCAGCCACACCGGGACUGAGACACGGCCCAGACUCCUACGGGAGGCAGCAGUGGGGAAUUUUGGACAAUGGGCGCAAGCCUGAUCCAGCAAUGCCGCGUGCAGGAAGAAGGCCUUCGGGUUGUAAACUGCUUUUGUACGGAACGAAACGGUCCUGGUUAAUACCUGGGGCUAAUGACGGUACCGUAAGAAUAAGCACCGGCUAACUACGUGCCAGCAGCCGCCGCGGUAA
rnacentral:rRNA from 1 species